ACCCAGACCCUGACCCAGACCCAGACCCAGACCCAGACCCGGACCCUACCCCGGACCCCAGUCCAGACCCGGAGCCUGACCCCCGCCCAUUCCCCGACCCCGACCCGGAACCGUGAACCUGACCCGCACCGGGACUGGGACCCCCUCAGAAGUUGCUGUUACUUCUGAGGAGCUUUGAUGGCCAGCUUUGGCUAACUGAGGCAUUUUGCUCUUGCAAUGGGUUAGACCGUCUACGGAUAAGGUGCAGGAUGAGAUGUCCACGUUUGUUCUGAAGUCUUAAGACGGUGGUUUCCAGAACUUUCCACCCAGAGUCCCUUGCUUAAACUUCUGUUUGAAGUACCAUCCCGAGGCUCAGACUGUGCACUUUGUGCGUGACGGGAAUUGGGCGUUCUGUUUUUAAGACGACGGGCUGUUGAAGAGCAGCUCAGGUCUCCACUGUCGGGGCCGGGACCCCAGGCCUGGGCACUGUCACACGACACCUGCUGUCAGCGUCGCUGUCACGACGUGCUCGGGUCACCUGAUCUUAGCUCUUCCGUCCCGUUGAACACCUAACGUGACCCUGGGCACCCAGGGCAGGGGCAGCACGGUGGGCCUACAUGGCCCGUGACCCCCCAGCCUCUCCCUCGCACACAGCCAGCUCGGCAGCCUGUCUCUGCCGUGCCCGCUUGUGUUGGAGUGGGCAAGCCCGGCCGGGACGGAGGCUGGCGUGCGUACGUAGCAGAACCACCAUCCAGUUACAACGCAGAGGUUCUGCGGAUGAUGACCGCAGGCUGCGUGCCAGCCCCGGCGCAGUGCUGUAGGGCAUCGGCCCUUUGCUUCUGGUCUGUGCUCCUCCAGCUGCCCGCGUGACCCUGGGCUCUCACUUCUUGCUCAUGGCCCCUGGCCGGGACCCUGCAUCAACGCCCCCCUCCCCUGGGAGCUCUCAGAGGGAUGGUGGGUGGCGGCACUGGGUGAGGGCUGGUUCCUGGGACAUGACCCACUCUCGUGGCGUCACUGCGACGUUGAGAAAUAGCACAGUGAUCCCCAAGGGGGUCUUGACUCGGUUACUUCCACCGACAAUUUAAUGGAGGAGGAAGGAGCGGAUGUUUAUGGAGUGUCCGUGGACACCCAGGACACCAAAUCCACCUCUUGGGACAGGGCAAGCGUGACCCCAACAGUCACUGUGGGACCCCAGGAAGGAGGCCGAGAGUCUGCUUAGACGAGCCGCUGUGCCCCGAGGCCUGGCCUGGCCUGCCCUGCGGCUGCCGCGCGGGCUCGGGGCCACCUUGGGACAGGCCCUGCUCUUGCAGGUUCCCGUUGCCUGCUGGCCAGCUGGGUGUGACGUGUGGCCCCCAGGAAGAGGCUUAAUGGGGGGUGAGGGAGGCACCGUUGACACUGAAAUCUGUUGUUUCUUUGAACCAGUGUUCGUGGGGCACCUGCUGUGUGCCGUGGGUCAGGCUGGUGGCAGGACACACAGGAGUGUGGGUGCCUGGCCUCCACGCUUCCCCUCCAGGAAGCCCCAGACAGAGGCCCUCAGUAUGUCACGGGGACAGGUGACGCCGCAGCGGGACGGCUUCUCUGGGUAGAGCACCUCAGCAUCGCUGGUCUCGCGCAUCUGCAGGGCCCCGGGGACCUGCCCGAGAAGCGUGGGUCACCGCAUGGGGAGACCCACAGAUACGGUGGCAGAACUGUCUGUGUCGCGAUCAGCCCGGGGCGUCUCGGGGUCGGGGCGGGUGGUGGGAAGGAGCCAGGUUUGACGUAGCGCAUUGCAGGCAGAGAGACCCUGGGAGGGAAGGUCUGGGUAAGGGCUUGGGGAAUUCCAGUCCAGGAGAGGGCAGAGAGAGGACAGGAGGCAGGGUGAGGGCGGCCCACCACGGCCGGGGUUAGAGGGGCCGAGGGACAGUGGGGCCUUCAUGUUGUCUCAUCGUAUUGUACGGAUCCCAGGCCCCGUGCGGAGAGGCGAAGGGAAGAUGGAGGCUGCCAGGGUGAGCAGGCCGCCUCAGGGGCCCCAGCAAGGAACCCUAGGGUGGACAGAGGAACGAGGAAAGCGUCCGAGUGACAGGAGGGCGUGGCCUUCCAGCAGCAGGUGCAUGGCCAGUGGGGAGAGAAGGGAAGGAAAAGGCAGUUCAUGGCAUCAGAGCGGACAGGGCAGCUAGGCCCCCCGUUCAGGACGAGCGUAGGAGGCCAUGGGUGCCGUCGCGGUCCAGGACCGCGUGCUUAGAUGAGGUGAGUGGGUGUGGGAUCUGGGGAGUGUUAGUCAGCGUUCUCCAGAGAGAUGGAACCAACAGGAUAUACAUGCAGGGGAGACUGGGGGAGGGGAGGUUUGCAGCAUUUGGCUCACGCAGUUGUGGGGCUGGCACGUCUGAAAUCUGUAGGACAGACCUGCAGGCUGGAGACCCAGGCAGAGUUGAUGCUGCCGCUCGCGGCCCACGGCCAUUGGCAAGAGAACCCUCCUCGGGGCAUCAGACUUCUGACGCCUUCAACUGAUUGGAUGUGGCCCACAAACGUGAUGGGGGCGUCUCAGAGUCCACUGACAUGGAGGUUAAUCUCACCUACAAACACCUUCACGUGGCAUUCAGAUGAUGUUUGACCACACCCCUGGGCACUGUGGCCCGGCCCAGUGGACACACAAACUGACAGGGCCCGGGGCUCUGCAGGGCAGGGCUGUACCUGGUUCUCACCGCUGGGCACAGCCCUGUCGGCCCCCUUCAGGUCCCUGGGGAGGCCAGCCAACAUCUGUGGCUAUGAGCCCCACUAAAUAAAGGUUCCCACCGUGCUCUGCUCACCCUCCGAAAACAGGA